rnacentral:tRNA from 1 species
GGUAAAGUGGCUGAGUUAAAGGCAAUAAAUUGUAAAUUUAUGUAGGAAUUAAUUAUUCCUUUACCA